rnacentral:rRNA from 1 species
UACGUAGGGGGCAAGCGUUGUCCGGAUUUAUUGGGCGUAAAGCGCACGCAGGCGGUCUCGUAAGUUUGGAGUGACAGUGCUCGGCUCAACUGAGCAAGGCCUUCGAAAACUGCGAGACUUGAGGACCAGAGAGGGACAUAGAAUUCCGGGUGGAGUGGUGAAAUGCGUAGAUAUCCGGAGGAAUACCGGAGGCGAAGGCGGAUAGCUGGGCCAACAUUGACGCUGAGACCCGAAAGCGUGGGGAUCAAACAGG